rnacentral:rRNA from 1 species
UAACACAUGCAAGUCGAGGGGCAGCAUAAAAGUAGCAAUACUUUGGUGGCGACCGGCGCACGGGUGAGUAACACGUAUGUAACCUGCCUGUAAGAGGGGAAUAACCCGGAGAAAUUCGGACUAAUACCGCAUAAUACCAAGAUUCUGCAUGGGAUUUUGGUUAAACAUUUAUGGCUUACAGAUGGGCAUGCGUAUGAUUAGCUAGUUGGUGAGGUAACGGCUCACCAAGGCAACGAUCAUUAGGGGUUCUGAGAGGAAGGUCCCCCACACUGGUACUGAGACACGGACCAGACUCCUACGGGAGGCAGCAGUGAGGAAUAUUGGUCAAUGGGCGAGAGCCUGAACCAGCCAAGUCGCGUGAAGGAAGACUGCCCUAUGGGUUGUAAACUUCUUUUGUAAGGGAAUAAAAAACGGCACGUGUGCUGUAUUGUAUGUACUUUACGAAUAAGGAUCGGCUAACUCCGUGCCAGCAGCCGCGGUAAUACGGAGGAUCCGAGCGUUAUCCGGAUUUAUUGGGUUUAAAGGGUGCGUAGGCGGACCCUUAAGUCAGUGGUGAAAGUUUGCAGCUUAACUGUAAAAUUGCCAUUGAAACUGAGGGUCUUGAGUGUAAAUAAGGUAGGCGGAAUGUGUUGUGUAGCGGUGAAAUGCUUAGAUAUAACACAGAACACCAAUUGCGAAGGCAGCUUACUGGGAUACAACUGACGCUGAGGCACGAAAGCGUGGGGAUCAAACAGGAUUAGAUACCCUGGUAGUCCACGCAGUAAACGAUGAAUACUAACUGUAUGCGAUAUACUGUAUGCGGUACAGCGAAAGCGUUAA